rnacentral:tRNA from 1 species
GCGCGGGUGGCGGAAUGGCAGACGCGCUAGCUUGAGGUGCUAGUCCUCGAAAGGGGGUGGGGGUUCAAGUCCCCCUUCGCGCACCG